GUGAACGCUGGCGGUAGGCCUAACACAUGCCAGUCGAACGGCAGCACAGUAAGAGCUUGCUCUUACGGGUGGCGAGUGGCGGACGGGUGAGGAAUACAUCGGAAUCUACUUUUUCGUGGGGGAUAACGUAGGGAAACUUACGCUAAUACCGCAUACGACCUACGGGUGAAAGCAGGGAUCUUCGGACCUUGCGCGAUUGAAUGGGCCGAUGUCGGAUUAGCUAGUUGGCGGGGUAAAGGCCCACCAAGGCGACGAUCCGUAGCUGGUCUGAGAGGAUGAUCAGCCACACUGGAACUGAGACACGGUCCAGACUCCUACGGGAGGCAGCAGUGGGGAAUAUUGGACAAUGGGCGCAAGCCUGAUCCAGCCAUACCGCGUGGGUGAAGAAGGCCUUCGGGUUGUAAAGCCCUUUUGUUGGGAAAGAAAAGCAGCAGGUUAAUACCCCGCUGUUCUGACGGUACCCAAAGAAUAAGCACCGGCUAACUUCGU
rnacentral:rRNA from 1 species